rnacentral:rRNA from 1 species
GGGGAAUAUUGGACAAUGGGCGGAAGCCUGAUCCAGCCAUGCCGCGUGUGUGAAGAAGGCCUUCGGGUUGUAAAGCACUUUCAGCGAGGAAGAACGCCUAGUGGUUAAUACCCAUUAGGAAAGACAUCACUCGCAGAAGAAGCACCGGCUAACUCCGUGCCAGCAGCCGCGGUAAUACGGAGGGUGCGAGCGUUAAUCGGAAUUACUGGGCGUAAAGCGCGCGUAGGUGGCUUGAUAAGCCGGUUGUGAAAGCCCCGGGCUCAACCUGGGAACGGCAUCCGGAACUGUCAAGCUAGAGUGCAGGAGAGGAAGGUAGAAUUCCCGGUGUAGCGGUGAAAUGCGUAGAGAUCGGGAGGAAUACCAGUGGCGAAGGCGGCCUUCUGGACUGACACUGACACUGAGGUGCGAAAGCGUGGGUAGCAAAC